rnacentral:rRNA from 1 species
AACGUAGGGGACAAGCGUUAUCCGGAUUUACUGGGCGUAAAGCGCCCGUAGGCGGCUUUUUAAGUUGGACGUGAAAGCUCCCGGCUUAACUGGGAGAGGCCGUUCAAAACUGAGAGGCUAGAGUGAGGCAGAGGAGCGCGGAAUUCCCGGUGUAGUGGUGGAAUGCGUAGAGAUCGGGAGGAACACCAGUGGCGAAAGCGGCGCUCUGGGCCUAAACUGACGCUGAGGGGCGAAAGCGUGGGGAGCGAACGGG